GCCCUAGUAACGGCGAGUGAAGCGGCAACAGCUCAAAUUUGAAAUCUGGCUCUUUUAGAGUCCGAGUUGUAAUUUGCAGAGGGCGCUUUGGCUUUGGCAGCGGUCCAAGUUCCUUGGAACAGGACGUCACAGAGGGUGAGAAUCCCGUACGUGGUCGCUGGCUAUUGCCGUGUAAAGCCCCUUCGACGAGUCGAGUUGUUUGGGAAUGCAGCUCUAAAUGGGAGGUACAUUUCUUCUAAAGCUAAAUAUUGGCCAGAGACCGAUAGCGCACAAGUAGAGUGAUCGAAAGAUGAAAAGCACUUUGGAAAGAGAGUCAAACAGCACGUGAAAUUGUUGAAAGGGAAGCGCUUGCAGCCAGACUUGCUUACAGUUGCUCAUCCGGGUUUCUACCCGGUGCACUCUUCUGUAGGCAGGCCAGCAUCAGUUUGGGCGGUAGGAUAAAGGUCUCUGUCACGUACCUCCUUUCGGGGAGGCCUUAUAGGGGAGACGACAUACUACCAGCCUGGACUGAGGUCCGCGCAUCUGCUAGGAUGCUGGCGUAAUGGCUGUAAGCGGCCCGUCUUGAAACACGGACCAAGGAGUCUAACAUCUAUGCGAGUGUUUGGGUGUCAAGCCCGAGCGCGUAAUGAAAGUGAACGGAGGUGGGAACCCGCAAGGGUGCACCAUCGACCGAUCCUGAUGUCUUCGGAAGGAUUUGAGUAAGAGCAUGGCUGUUGGGACCCGAAAGAUGGUGAACUAUGCUUGAAUAGGGUGAAGCCAGAGGAAACUCUGGUGGAGGCUCGCAGCGGUUCUGACGUGCAAAUCGAUCGUCAAAUUUGGGCAUAGGGGCGAAAGACUAAUC
rnacentral:rRNA from 1 species